rnacentral:lncRNA from 1 species
AAUAACAGUUUCGGUAGAUUUGAAAGUUUAAUACUUAUUUUGUUGUAAUAAAAUUGCUCUCAGUAAUAAAACAAGCAAUAUGAAUAGACUUGAUGAAGUAUGUGUUCAGUAAGUUAAGCGCUUUGGGCUGGAGAUAUUUAACCAAUAGCGACUCCACACAGAACGAGGCACAUCGCGAGGCAAACGUGCUUUCUAGAAGUGCCUCGGCCGAAGCAUUGUGCGUUUUGCUCGGCCGAGGCAAGCACAAGACACGUCUACAAACCAAUAGCCGGGUCCACACAGAACGAGGCACAUCGCGAGGCAAACGUGCUUUGUAUAAGUGCCUCGGCCGAGGCAUUGUGUGUUUUGCUCGGCCGAGGCAAGCACAAGACACGUCUACAAACCAAUAGCCGGGUCCACACAGAACGAGGCACAUCGCGAGGCAAACGUGCUUUGUAUAAGUGCCUCGGCCGAGGCAUUGUGCGUUUUGCUCGGCCGAGGCAAGCACAAGACACGUCUACAAACCAAUAGCCGGGUCCACACAGAACGAGGCACAUCGCGAGGCAAACGUGCUUUGUAUAAGUGCCUCGGCCGAGGCAUUGUGUGUUUUGCUCGGCCGAGGCAAGCACAAGACACGUCUACAAACCAAUAGCCGGGUCCACACAGAACGAGGCACAUCGCGAGGCAAACGUGCUUUGUAUAAGUGCCUCGGCCGAGGCAUUGUGCGUUUUGCUCGGCCGAGGCAAGCACAAGACACGUCUACAAACCAAUAGCCGGGUCCACACAGAACGAGGCACAUCGCGAGGCAAACGUGCUUUGUAUAAGUGCCUCGGCCGAGGCAUUGUGCGUUUUGCUCGGCCGAGGCAAGCACAAGACACGUCUACAAACCAAUAGCCGGGUCCACACAGAACGAGGCACAUCGCGAGGCAAACGUGCUUUGUAUAAGUGCCUCGGCCGAGGCACUGUGUGCGUUUGGUCGGCCGAGGCAAGCACAAGACACGUCUACAAACCAAUAGCCGGGUCCACACAGAACGAGGCACAUCGCGAGGCAAACGUGCUUUCUAGAAGUGCCUCGGCCGAGGCACUGUGUGCGUUUGGUCGGCCGAGGCAAGAAGAAGGCACGUCUACAUCGGAUGUUUGCCGCGUGAGCGCAUUGCCUCGAGACGUGCCUCGCUUUGUGUGAACCCGGUUACUCUAGAAAGUCAUUACCAUCUAAUCACAUCAUAAAAAUGAACUAUCAAUUAAAUCUCACAAGCGGUAUAAUCAUCUUGAUUGUAAUGAACUAUAAUAGUUCACAUCUUUUUUUUACAUUAUCUAAUUGGUUAUGUCAAAUUAUGCUUAUUGCCUAAUAAUUGAAUCUUAUCAGAUUAAUUUUGUCUCAAGCCACUUUUAAAGAUAUGCAUAAGCAUUGCAAAAGCAGAAUAUUUUUUUUAUAAGUUUUGUUUUUAAAUAUUUUCACUCUUGGGUCAGUAGGUAGGUACCUACAGUGAGUAAACUUUUUUUAAGGUUUGAUUCAAUGGAAUUUGUGUAAUUCUAAAUUAUAAUAUUCUUUGUAUUAGUCUGCGGCUACUUUUACGGGUCGUAAGCAGCUAACAAUGCAAUAAGUAGAUUAAUCUGUAAUUGUAUAAAAUGCAUGUUUAAAUUUUAGUUAAGUUUCAUCUUUUUAUCUGAAGUGAAAAUAAAAAAUAUACGGAUGA